rfam:Danio rerio unplaced genomic contig NA1006, GRCz11 reference primary assembly.
AAAGUGGCCUACGCUACAGCCAUGGACUGGUUUAUGGCCGUCUGCUAUGCGUUU